UACGUAGGGUGCAAGCGUUGUCCGGAAUUAUUGGGCGUAAAGAGCUCGUAGGCGGUUUGUCGCGUCUGCUGUGAAAACUCGGGGCUUAACUCCGGGCCUGCAGUGGGUACGGGCAGACUAGAGUGCGGUAGGGGAGACUGGAAUUCCUGGUGUAGCGGUGAAAUGCGCAGAUAUCAGGAGGAACACCGACGGCGAAGGCAGCACUCUGGGCCGGUACUGACGCUGAGGAGCGAAAGCAUGGGGAGCGAACAGG
rnacentral:rRNA from 1 species